GACGAACGCUGGCGGCGUGCUUAACACAUGCAAGUCGAACGGUAAGGCUCCAGCUUGCUGGGGUACACGGGUGGCGAACGGGUGAGUAACACGUGGGUGACCUGCCCUGCACUUCGGGAUAAGCCUGGGGAACUGGGUCUAAUACCGGAUAGGACCAUGGUGUGGAUACUGUGGUGGAAAGUUUUUUCGGUGUGGGAUGGGCCCGCGGCCUAUCAGCUUGUUGGUGGGGUAAUGGCCUACCAAGGCGGCGACGGGUAGCCGGCCUGAGAGGGUGGACGGCCACAUUGCGACUGAGCCCACGCCCACCCUCCUCCGCGAGCUACCAGCGAGGAUUAUUGCCUAACGGGGGGAAGACUGACGGAGAAACGCCGAGCGGGGGACAAGGGCACUCGCGUUGUAAACUCCUUUCACCAUCGACGAAGUGGUUCGGCCGGUCGAAGGAGAACAAGCACCGGCGACUUAAGU
rnacentral:rRNA from 1 species